AUCUAGAUGACGAGUCCGAAAUAGAACGAAACACGCGUCCUGGAU
rnacentral:hammerhead_ribozyme from 1 species